CCUACGGGCGGCAGCAGUGAGGAAUAUUGGUCAAUGGACGAGAGUCUGAACCAGCCAAGUAGCGUGAAGGAUGACUGCCCUAUGGGUUGUAAACUUCUUUUAUAUGGGAAUAAAACGUUCCACGUGUGGGAUUUUGUAUGUACCAUAUGAAUAAGGAUCGGCUAACUCCGUGCCAGCAGCCGCGGUAAUACGGAGGAUCCGAGCGUUAUCCGGAUUUAUUGGGUUUAAAGGGAGCGUAGGUGGAUUGUUAAGUCAGUUGUGAAAGUUUGCGGCUCAACCGUAAAAUUGCAGUUGAAACUGGCAGUCUUGAGUACAGUAGAGGUGGGCGGAAUUCGUGGUGUAGCGGUGAAAUGUUUAGAUAUCACGAAGAACUCCGAUUGCGAAGGCAGUUCACUGGACUGCAACUGACACUGAGGCUCGAAAGUGUGGGUAUCAAACAGGAUUAGAUACCCGAGUAGUC
rnacentral:rRNA from 1 species